CUACGGGUUGCUCCAGUAAGGAAUAUUGCGCAAUGGAGGCAACUCUGACGCAGCCAUGCCGCGUGCAGGAAGAAGGCCUUAUGGGUCGUAAACUGCUUUUAUUUAGGAAUAAACCCCCGAACGUGUUCGGGGCUGAAGGUACUAAACGAAUAAGCAUCGGCUAACUCCGUGCCAGCAGCCGCGGUAAUACGGAGGGUGCAAGCGUUAUCCGGAUUUAUUGGGUUUAAAGGGUGCGCAGGGCGGGCUAUUAGUCAGGUGUGAAAUCCCGGGGCUCAACUCCGGAACUGCCAUUGAUACUGAUAGUCUUGAGUUUGGUUGAAGUGGGCGGAAUGUAGCAUGUAGCGGUGAAAUGCAUAGAUAUGCUACAGAACACCAAUCGCGAAGGCAGCUCACUAAGCCAAAACUGACGCUCAUGCACGAAAGCGUGGGGAUCAAACAGGAUUAGAUACCCUGGUAGUC
rnacentral:rRNA from 1 species